rnacentral:rRNA from 1 species
AAAACGACUCUCGGCAACGGAUAUCUCGGCUCUCGCAUCGAUGAAGAACGUAGCGAAAUGCGAUACUUGGUGUGAAUUGCAGAAUCCCGCGAACCAUCGAGUCUUUGAACGCAAGUUGCGCCCGAAGCCAUCCGGCCGAGGGCACGUCUGCCUGGGCGUCACAC